AGGGCUGUAGCUUAGUAGUAUAAUGUCUGCUUUGUAUGCAGAAGGCAUGAGGUUCAAUCCCUGGUAGGACUG